AUACGUAGGGGGCGAGCGUUGUCCGGAAUGAUUGGGCGUAAAGGGCGCGUAGGCGGCUUUGCAAGUCAGUAGUGGAAGUCCAUUUUUCAAGGAUGGAAGUGCUACAGAAACUGCGGAGCUUGAGUGCAGGAGAGGUUAUCGGAAUUCCCGGUGUAGCGGUGAAAUGCGUAGAGAUCGGGAGGAACACCAGUGGCGAAGGCGGGUAACUGGACUGCAACUGACGCUGAGGCGCGAAAGUGUGGGGAGCAAACAGGAUUAGAUACCCUGGUAGUCCACACUGUAAACGAUGAAUGCUAGGUGUAGGAGGUAUCGACCCCUUCUGUGCCGCAGUAAACACAGUAAGCAUUCCGCCUGGCAGUACGGUCGCAAGAUUAAAACUCAAAGGAAUUGACGGGG
rnacentral:rRNA from 1 species